rnacentral:lncRNA from 12 species
UCGCCUAAUUGCAAUACCCUAUUUUUCAGAUGGAGAAAUUCAACUCAGAAAGAGGAAGAAUCUUCUUUAUUUUUUUUUUUUUUAGUUUAGCACCAUUUAUUAAGUGAUCUCAGCUGUUGUUGUAGCUGCUGUAUAUCAGCCUGUUCUUAAAACAUAAAAUGCUCUUCCAAUUCCUCUUGUCCAGGACAGAAGGAUCUUCCAGGUAGCACGCCAACAGAACAAGAGACUCCGAUGAUGCCAGCUUCAAUGAUGGUGCCAUCCAGAGAGGGAGAGGGUCAUGGCACAUUCAACCGCGGCUUCCAGAGGUUUUGAAAAAGGAGCCUUUGGGGGCCCAGCCUGCCUGGCAUUUUGAUGCUGUCGGUGUGGGUUUUGUACUCCAUAAUGGUGUUGGGAGAUAAUCCACUUGCCACCAUUUUUAUUUGCAUCAUCCUCCCACAUGGGCUUAAUUCCUUCUUUGAAGAGAUGGAAGUCACUGUGGCCUGUCAGGUCCCCAGGACGUACCAUGUGGCUAUAAAACCUCCAGAACUGUUCCACAGAGGCAAAGGAGCCGAUCUGUUUGAUAUUCUGUUCAUAGCUCUGUGAGCUGGUGGGACGGCCAGGGGUUCUUCUGGAGUACCAGAAAGUAUAGUUGUACUGCAGGGGAUGCUCUGCUGGCCCAGGGACAACAGCCUUCCUCUUACUGCUGCCCUGACUUUUGUCUCGUUCCGUUUUUUCCUUCUCACCAUCUUUCUGUGUGCUGUUUUCUUCAUUCUGAUCAUGGUCCCCACUGUCAUCAUCUUUCAAUGCGUCGAACUUGUUGUUCAUCCUCUCACCGCCGCCGUCGCCACUGCCCAGAAUCUUCUUUAAACACAGAAAGAAAAUCUAUCCUUCCACUUGUUUUUCCUGUGCAUAUCCACAUGUGAAUAUGCUUUAAUGAACUCAUACUAGACAUACUAUUUGGUAUGCUUGACAGGUGAACAGAUGAAACCUCAGUCAACAAAUGAAAGCAUUCAAAAACUAUAAAAAUCUCAAGUUGGGAUAAAGCACUAAUUCUCAAAUGUUAGUGUCCGAAAGAAUCAUCUAGGGAGUUUUAAUAUAUUUUUUUAAGAUUUUAUUUAUUUAUGAAAGACACACAGAGAGAGAGAGAGAGGAGAGAGAGAGAAAGACAGAGACAAAGACAGAGACAUAGGCAGAGAGAGAAGCAGGCUCCAGGCAGGGAGCCCGAUGUGGGACUCGAUCCUGAGACCACGGGUCACAUCCUGAGCCAGGGGCAGGUGCUUAACUGCU